AGAGAGUGUGGGACAUGAAGAGA
rnacentral:miRNA from 1 species